UACGGAGGGUGCAAGCGUUGUCCGGAUUUAUUGGGUUUAAAGGGUGCGUAGGCGGCCCGGUAAGUCAGUGGUGAAAGCCUCCAGCUCAACUGGAGAACUGCCAUUGAUACUGCCGGGCUUGAGUACAGACGAGGUUGGCGGAAUUGAUUGUGUAGCGGUGAAAUGCAUAGAUACAAUCAAGAACUCCGAUUGCGUAGGCAGCUAACUAGGCUGUAACUGACGCUGAGGCACGAAAGCGUGGGAGCGAACAGG
rnacentral:rRNA from 1 species